GAUGAACGCUGGCGGCGUGCCUAAUACAUGCAAGUCGAGCGAACAGAUAAGGAGCUUGCUCCUUUGAAGUUAGCGGCGGACGGGUGAGUAACACGUGGGUAACCUACCUAUAAGACUGGGAUAACUUCGGGAAACCGGAGCUAAUACCGGAUAACAUUUGGAACCGCAUGGUUCUAAAGUGAAAGAUGGUUUUGCUAUCACUUAUAGAUGGACCCGCGCCGUAUUAGCUAGUCGGUAAGGUAACGGCUUACCAAGGCGACGAUACGUAGCCGACCUGAGGGGGUAGUCGGCCACACUGGAACUGAGAUGCGGUCCGGACUCCGACGGGAGGCAGCAGUAGGGAAUCGUCCGCAAUGGGCGAAAGCCUGACGGAGCAACGCUGCGUGAGUGAUGAAGAGUUUCGGCUCGUAAAACUCUGUUAUUAGGGAAGAACAAAUGUGUAAGUAACUGUGCACGUCUUGACGGUACCUAAUCAGAAAGCCACGGCUAACUACGUGCCAGCCGCCGCGGUAA
rnacentral:rRNA from 1 species